rnacentral:snRNA from 1 species
GUACUUACACAGCAGGGGAGAUGCCAUAAUCAUGAAGGUGGUUUUCCCAGGGUGAGGCUGAUCCAUUGCACUCCGGAUGUGCUGACCCCGGUGAUUUCCCCAAAAGGUGGGAGAUGUGACCGCAUAAUUUAGAGUACCGGGGGAAGGGAUGGGAGGGUCUGUGUUCACACUCUCCCCUG